GGGACACGUGGUAUCCUGUCUGAAUAUGGGGGGACCAUCCUCCAAGGCUAAAUACUCCUGACUGACCGAUAGUGAACCAGUACCGUGAGGGAAAGGCGAAAAGAACCCCGGCGAGGGGAGUGAAAAAGAACCUGAAACCGUGUACGUACAAGCAGUGGGAGCACGCUUAGGCGUGUGACUGCGUACCUUUUGUAUAAUGGGUCAGCGACUUAUAUUCUGUAGCAAGGUUAACCGAAUAGGGGAGCCGAAGGGAAACCGAGUCUUAACUGGGCGUUAAGUUGCAGGGUAUAGACCCGAAACCCGGUGAUCUAGCCAUGGGCAGGUUGAAGGUUGGGUAACACUAACUGGAGGACCGAACCGACUAAUGUUGAAAAAUUAGCGGAUGACUUGUGGCUGGGGGUGAAAGGCCAAUCAAACCGGGAGAUAGCUGGUUCUCCCCGAAAGCUAUUUAGGUAGCGCCUCGUGAAUUCAUCUCCGGGGGUAGAGCACUGUUUCGGCAAGGGGGUCAUCCCGACUUACCAACCCGAUGCAAACUGCGAAUACCGGAGAAUGUUAUCACGGGAGACACACGGCGGGUGCUAACGUCCGUCGUGAAGAGGGAAACAACCCAGACCGCCAGCUAAGGUCCCAAAGUCAUGGUUAAGUGGGAAACGAUGUGGGAAGGCCCAGACAGCCAGGAUGUUGGCUUAGAAGCAGCCAUCAUUUAAAGAAAGCGUAAUAGCUCACUGGUCGAGUCGGCCUGCGCGGAAGAUGUAACGGGGCUAAACCAUGCACCGAAGCUGCGGCAGCGACGCUUAUGCGUUGUUGGGUAGGGGAGCGUUCUGUAAGCCUGUGAAGGUGUACUGUGAGGUAUGCUGGAGGUAUCAGAAGUGCGAAUGCUGACAUAAGUAACGAUAAAGCGGGUGAAAAGCCCGCUCGCCGGAAGACCAAGGGUUCCUGUCCAACGUUAAUCGGGGCAGGGUGAGUCGACCCCUAAGGCGAGGCCGAAAGGCGUAGUCGAUGGGAAACAGGUUAAUAUUCCUGUACUUGGUGUUACUGCGAAGGGGGGACGGAGAAGGCUAUGUUGGCCGGGCGACGGUUGUCCCGGUUUAAGCGUGUAGGCUGGUUUUCCAGGCAAAUCCGGAAAAUCAAGGCUGAGGCGUGAUGACGAGGCACUACGGUGCUGAAGCAACAAAUGCCCUGCUUCCAGGAAAAGCCUCUAAGCAUCAGGUAACAUCAAAUCGUACCCCAAACCGACACAGGUGGUCAGGUAGAGAAUACCAAGGCGCUUGAGAGAACUCGGGUGAAGGAACUAGGCAAAAUGGUGCCGUAACUUCGGGAGAAGG
rnacentral:rRNA from 1 species